rnacentral:tRNA from 1 species
GGUGGCUCAGUGGUAGAGUGCUUGCUUUGCAUGCAUAAGGCCUGGGUUCAAUUCCUCAGCACCA